rnacentral:rRNA from 1 species
CUACGGGGCGCUCCAGUGGGGAAUAUUGCACAAUGGGCGCAAGCCUGAUGCAGCCAUGCCGCGUGUAUGAAGAAGGCCUUCGGGUUGUAAAGUACUUUCAGCGGGGAGGAAGGGAGUAAAGUUAAUACCUUUGCUCAUUGACGUUACCCGCAGAAGAAGCACCGGCUAACUCCGUGCCAGCAGCCGCGGUAAUACGGAGGGUGCAAGCGUUAAUCGGAAUUACUGGGCGUAAAGCGCACGCAGGCGGUUUGUUAAGUCGGAUGUGAAAUCCCCGGGCUCAACCUGGGAACUGCAUCUGAUACUGGCAAGCUUGAGUCUCGUAGAGGGGGGUAGAAUUCCAGGUGGAGCGGUGAAAUGCGUAGAGAUCUGGAGGAAUACCGGUGGCGAAGGCGGCCCCCUGGACGAAGACUGACGCUCAGGUGCGAAAGCGUGGGGAGCAAACAGGAUUAGAUACCCUAGUAGUC